UACGUAGGUGGCAAGCGUUGUCCGGAAUUAUUGGGCGUAAAGCGCGCGCAGGCGGUCCUUUAAGUCUGAUGUGAAAGCCCACGGCUCAACCGUGGAGGGUCAUUGGAAACUGGGGGACUAGAGUGCAGAAGAGGAAAGCGGAAUUCCACGUGUAGCGGUGAAAUGCGUAGAGAUGUGGAGGAACACCAGUGGCGAAGGCGGCUUUCUGGUCUGUAACUGACGCUGAGGCGCGAAAGCGUGGGGAGCAAACAGG
rnacentral:rRNA from 1 species